rnacentral:rRNA from 1 species
AUUGAACGCUGGCGGCAGGCCUAACACAUGCAAGUCGAGCGGAGCGGCGGACGGGGGAGUAAUGCAUAGGAAUCUGCCUGGUAGUGGGGUAUAACGUCAGGAAACGGGCGCUAAUACCGCAUAAUAUCAGAUGAGCAUAGGUCGGAUUAGCUAGUUGGUUGGGGAAAGGCCUACCAAGGCGACGAUACGUAACUGGUCUGAGAGGAUGAUCAGUCAAACUGGAACUGAGACACGGUCCAGACUCCUACGGGAGGCAGCAUGGGGGAAUAUUGGCCAAUGGGCGAAAGCCUGAUCCAGCCAUGCCGCGUGGGUGAAGAAGGUCUUCGGAUUGUAAAGCACUUUAAGUUGGGAGGCGUUACCAACAGAAUAAGCACCGGCUAACUUCGUGCCAGCAGCCGCGGUAAUAC